rnacentral:sRNA from 1 species
GCAUUUGCCUUUACUGUGGAGUUUUGUUGCCGGUUCUGCUCCCUAAUCUUCCUUUUCUGACGUGCCUGAGCAUGUCCACAUUAGAAUCUGUGACAUACCUACCUGAAAAAGGUUUAUAUUGUCAGAGACUGCCAAGCAGCCGGACACACGGGGGCACAGAAUCACUGAAGGGGAAAAAUACAGAAAAUAUGGGUUUCUACGGCACAUUAAAAAUGAUUUUUUACAAAAUGAAAAGAAAGUUGGACCAUGGUUCUGAGGUCCGCUCUUUUUCUUUGGGAAAGAAACCAUGCAAAGUCUCAGAAUAUACAAGUACCACUGGGCUUGUACCAUGUUCAGCAACACCAACAACUUUUGGGGACCUCAGAGCAGCCAAUGGCCAAGGGCAACAACGACGCCGAAUUACAUCUGUCCAGCCACCUACAGGCCUCCAGGAAUGGCUAAAAAUGUUUCAGGUGACAUAUCUAAACAUAGUACUUGAAAUGCCUCACUUAAUUGCUGCAAAAUAAGGGAUUAUUCAUCCGUAAAAAAAGAAGGAAGCACUUUUACAUAGUAUACUGUGGAUGAACUUUG